AUAAGUGCUGAAAGCAUCUAAGCACGAAACUUGCCCCGAGAUGAUUUCUCCCUGAGGCUCCGAGCCUCCUGAAGGGACGUUGAAGACGACGACGUUGAUAGGCCGGGUGUGUAAGCGCAGCGAUGCGUUGAGCUUACCGGUACUAAUGACCCGUGAGGCUUAACCUUACAACGCCAGAGGCGUUUUG
rnacentral:rRNA from 1 species